rnacentral:rRNA from 1 species
AGUGAACGCUGGCGGUAGGCCUAACACAUGCAAGUCGAACGGCAGCACAGUAAGAGCUUGCUCUUACGGGUGGCGAGUGGCGGACGGGUGAGGAAUACAUCGGAAUCUACUUUUUCGUGGGGGAUAACGUAGGGAAACUUACGCUAAUACCGCAUACGACCUACGGGUGAAAGCAGGGGAUCUUCGGACCUUGCGCGAUUGAAUGAGCCGAUGUCGGAUUAGCUAGUUGGCGGGGUAAAGGCCCACCAAGGCGACGAUCCGUAGCUGGUCUGAGAGGAUGAUCAGCCACACUGGAACUGAGACACGGUCCAGACUCCUACGGGAGGCAGCAGUGGGGAAUAUUGGACAAUGGGCGAAAGCCUGAUCCAGCCAUACCGCGUGUGUGAAGAAGGCCUUCGGGUUGUAAAGCCCUUUUGUUGGGAAAGAAAAGCAGCAAGUUAAUACCCCGCUGUUCUGACGGUACCCAAAGAAUAAGCACCGGCUAACUUCGUG